CCCGAGCUGACUUGCUGGCCAAGCUCGCCAGUUCAGGCAAGGGGGGUAGGCAGAGGACGGUGAUUCAAGAAACUCUGAAGACGCCGAGGGCAUUUGUAGCAGAUCACCUGGUUCUUCAGAUAAGCAGGUCGACGGAAAAAGUGGCAAGAAGUCACAAGUCUUUAACGCAAGAAACGUUGAGAUCGCCGAGAAUUAGAGCGUGUCGGGGAGAGAGGGUGAACAUGACACAGGUCUGCGCUACCCAUGAGCCAGACACUUGGAUAACACAGUACAAGCGGUGCCUGGCAGAUGGCCUUCUCCCGCUGGAUCCGACAGAGGCUAGGAAGGUAAAGAAAAAU
rnacentral:lncRNA from 1 species